rnacentral:rRNA from 2 species
UGGGGAAUCUUGCACAAUGGGCGAAAGCCUGAUGCAGCGACGCCGCGUGCGGGAUGAAGGCCUUCGGGUUGUAAACCGCUUUCAGCAGGGACGAGGCCGCAAGGUGACGGUACCUGCAGAAGAAGCCCCGGCUAACUACGUGCCAGCAGCCGCGGUAAUACGUAGGGGGCAAGCGUUAUCCGGAUUCAUUGGGCGUAAAGCGCGCGUAGGCGGUUUGUUAGGUCAGGAGUUAAAUCUGGGGGCUCAACCCCUAUCCGCUCCUGAUACCGGCAGGCUUGAGUCUGGUAGGGGAAGGCGGAAUUCCAAGUGUAGCGGUGAAAUGCGCAGAUAUUUGGAAGAACACCGGUGGCGAAGGCGGCCUUCUGGGCCACGACUGACGCUGAGGCGCGAAAGCUAGGGGAGCGAACAGG